GCUAAUACCGCAUACGUCCUACGGGAGAAAGCAGGGGACCUUCGGGCCUUGCGCUAUCAGAUGAGCCUAGGUCGGAUUAGCUAGUUGGUGAGGUAAUGGCUCACCAAGGCGACGAUCCGUAACUGGUCUGAGAGGAUGAUCAGUCACACUGGAACUGAGACACGGUCCAGACUCCUACGGGAGGCAGCAGUGGGGAAUAUUGGACAAUGGGCGAAAGCCUGAUCCAGCCAUGCCGCGUGUGCGAAGAAGGUCUUCGGAUUGUAAAGCACUUUAAGUUGGGAGGAAGGGCAUUUACCUAAUACGUAAGUGUUUUGACGUUACCGACAGAAUAAGCACCGGCUAACUCUGUGCCAGCAGCCGCGGUAAUACAGAGGGUGCAAGCGUUAAUCGGAAUUACUGGGCGUAAAGCGCGCGUAGGUGGUUCGUUAAGUUGGAUGUG
rnacentral:rRNA from 1 species